ensembl:lncRNA
ACCAUUUGCCAACUGUUCACAGCCAUAGCAAUGGCAACCCAGACAAAACACCCACCACCGUGACUGUGCGCUCAGUGCUCCUCAACCGGAACUCUCCAGAUAUUGAAAGCAGACUUAAACGGAGACGAAAUCGCACACAGCAAGUACGUUUUAAAGAUUUGGAGGAUGAUGAUGAGUCUAAGGAUAAAAAUGAGAAGGUGAGGAGUAAGAGCCCAACAGAGGUUCCAAACUGGCAGAAAGAGUUGACAAACGGGCCCUCGUUGGUGGGAGCAGUCCGUGGGGACAUGGAAAAGACAAUUGGAGCAGUGACAGCAUUUUUGAAGAGAGCACCACCGCACCCACUUACCCCUGGGCCUGCCAGACGCUGCUGGGUCCCAACACAUCCAUGUUCCCUCACAUUGCCGCUGCCAACUCAGCCAUGCAAGAGUACAGCCAUCCAAACCUCACCCAGUUUGCAGAAGCCUCCCUCACUCUCUGCCACACAGACUCGCAGUCACAGCCUGGGGGGAGCCUGGGAUGACGGAGACUCCUCUGAUGAGCUGACUGCACAUGUCUACAUUCCACCUUGUAGACCAAAGAAGAGCUCUGUCCAGCCUUGUACCCCUGCUGAGCAAUCAAGGUGCAAGAGAACAGAGGACAAUCAAACUGCCUCUGUGGGAACAUCAACACAAUUCCAGCCAUGUUCAGCUGCGCCACAAAAACAGUCUAGAAGGAGGGGUAGGAGGAAAUCUUUAAAUAGAGCAGCAAGUGAUCCUGGGAAACUUGAGCCUGCUUGUACUUCCCCAACUAAAACUGUGCACAGAAGCCACCAACAGUCUAACCAACCCAAGAAGCUUCCAUCCAAAUCUGUGGUGCACAGAACUUCGCCAGAUAUUGUACCCACGCAGUGUUAUCCCAUGCCCAACACAGUUCAUAAUAUGCCAUGUAGUGUCUCUUUCACACAGACUGAAGCAAGCAUUGAUUCAAAAAUCCAAACUGUCCCAGACAACGCAACAUCUUUGCAAAAUGCUGAAGUCGAUCCUGCAUCUUGUCCAUCUCACACUGCACCACCUCCAUCAACCACAUGUACCAAAGAAACGUCACAAUGUUGCCCACAGCAGGCUGGUGUGGAGAACAUCAGUUUGACCCCCACUGUACCAGAACCUUUGUGCACUACCACAGCACAAGUCAUAUCCACUGUCACCACAUUCUCAACACACCAUCAAUCAUGCAUGUCUCCUACUGAAUCUACAGGGCGUUGUUGCACACCUGCUAUUCAGAAUACAACAAACUGUAAGACUCCCCCAUUACCAGAGUCCCAGAGAAUUCCAGAUUCUCAUACAGAUCCAACAACUCCUGCCCAAUCCAUGCCUUGUUUCCAGAAGUUGGAGGAAACCAUUCCAUGCUCCAACACUGCUAGCUCAAAGGCAACAGCCUGUUCUCAAGGAGCACCAGCAGUUGCCUCUACGUUCAGUUCCACACAGCCAUGCCAGAAGACUCCAACACAACCCAUGGCAUGUGAUAUCACCUCCAAUCAACCUGUGUACUCUGUGAUAU